rnacentral:rRNA from 1 species
UCGUGAGGUGGCUUGUCAGGUUAAUUCCGAUAACGAACGAGAUCGCAACUUAUUAAUUGGCGCGUUAUUGUUCUUCUAUACGGGUGAAGUUAUUUGGCUUAUGUGAGUGGGGAAACUUACUUCGCAUGACCUUGUAAUGAAUCCUUGAUGAACAGUUUCCGUCCGUUAAUCGUACUAUCGGCGAAAGCACGAUGGAAGAUGUGGCAAUAACA